GACGAACCGAGCGAACGUUGUUCGGAAUCACUGGGCUUAAAGGGCGCGUAGGCGGGUGCUCAAGUCUGUGGUGAAAUCCUCCGGCUCAACCGGAGAACUGCCAUGGAUACUGGGUGCCUCGAGGGUGGUAGGGGUAUGCGGAACUAUCGGUGGAGCGGUGGAAUGCGUUGAUAUCGAUAGGAACUCCGGUGGCGAAGGCGGCAUACUGGACCACUUCUGACGCUGAGGCGCGAAAGCCAGGGGAGCAAACGGG
rnacentral:rRNA from 1 species